rnacentral:lncRNA from 1 species
UAUGUUCCCAAAUUGGGAACAAAGGGUGAGGAUUUCUUGUUUUUCCUCAGGAGGCUGAUCUCAUGUUUCAUUACUCAGGGCCCACUUUCAAUACGGCUUGUAAAGUAAUUUAAACCAGAGCCUUUGCUGUAUGUUUUCCUGGAGGGAACUCGGUUUUCUUUAACCAAAGGGAAGCCUGGAACAAGCAUCUCAAGGGACAAAACUACAUAAGAUAAUUUCCGCACAUACAUUGUAUGGCAGGCAACAAAUUCUUUAUUAUCAAAGGUCUCUUCCAUGUAGAAGGUUACUGGAAUCUCCUACAGCAUCUGACUUCUUCCUAAAUCCAGGGUCCAGACCAGGCACAGAGAAUGUUCUGGUUGCACUGAAGGACAAUCUUCUGGCUUUCAGAAAGGUGGAAAAUAGCACUCUUCAAAAGCGAGACAGAACUGGAAAUGAAAUGAAGACAUGGAAUUUAAGAGACGCUUUUGUACAGCAGCCCAAAAGUAAGUUGCCGCCCAUGGCUAAAGGGCCCCACCAGAGCAGCCUGGUUUUAAGAGAUGGAAGCUUGAAUCUGAAGACCUGGCUAUCCCGCCUCCUGUUUGGACCACCCACAGAGGCACUUAGACCCAGUUGCCUUGUUUCCUGCUGGGACCACCCACAUAGGUCCCUUUAA